rnacentral:rRNA from 1 species
GAGCGGAUCGAAUAGAAGCUUGCUUCGAUUCGGUUAGCGGCGGACGGGUGAGUAACACGUGGGCAACCUGCCCGGAAGACCGGGAUAACUUCGGGAAACCGGAGCUAAUACCGGAUAACACCGAAUGCCGCAUGGUCUUUGGUUGAAAGGCGGCUUAGGCUGUCGCUUCCGGAUGGGCCCGCGGCGCAUUAGCUAGUUGGUGAGGUAACGGCUCACCAAGGCGACGAUGCGUAGCCGACCUGAGAGGGUGAUCGGCCACACUGGGACUGAGACACGGCCCAGACUCCUACGGGAGGCAGCAGUAGGGAAUCUUCCGCAAUGGACGAAAGUCUGACGGAGCAACGCCGCGUGAGCGAAGAAGGUCUUCGGAUUGUAAAGCUCUGUUGUUAGGGAAGAACAAGUACCGCAGUAACUGGCGGUACCUUGACGGUACCUAACGAGAAAGCCACGGCUAACUACGUGCCAGCAGCCGCGGUAAUACGUAGGUGGCAAGCGUUGUCCGGAAUUAUUGGGCGUAAAGCGCGCGCAGGCGGUCCUUUAAGUCUGAUGUGAAAGCCCACGGCUCAACCGUGGAGGGUCAUUGGAAACUGGGGGA